rnacentral:rRNA from 1 species
ACUCCUACGGGAGGCAGCAGUGGGGAAUAUUGCACAAUGGGCGCAAGCCUGAUGCAGCCAUGCCGCGUGUGUGAAGAAGGCCUUCGGGUUGUAAAGCACUUUCAGUCGUGAGGAAGGUAGUGUAGUUAAUAGCUGCAUUAUUUGUACGUUAGCGACAGAAGAAGCACCGGCUAACUCCGUGCCAGCAGCCGCGGUAAUACGGAGGGUGCGAGCGUUAAUCGGAAUUACUGGGCGUAAAGCGCAUGCAGGUGGUUUGUUAAGUCAGAUGUGAAAGCCCGGGGCUCAACCUCGGAAUAGCAUUUGAAACUGGCAGACUAGAGUACUGUAGAGGGGGUAGGAAUUUCAGGUGUAGCGGUGAAAUGCGUAGAGAUCUGAAGGAUACCGGUGGCGAAGCGGCCCCUGGACAGAUACUGACACUCAGAUGCGAAAGCGUGGGAGCAAACAGGAUUAGAUACCCCGUGUAGGAUAGCG